rnacentral:rRNA from 1 species
CGAACGCUGGCGGCGUGCCUAAUACAUGCAAGUCGAGCGGACUGAAUGGAAGCUUGCUUCCGUUCGGUUAGCGGCGGACGGGUGAGUAACACGUGGGCAACCUGCCCGUAAGACCGGGAUAACUUCGGGAAACCGGAGCUAAUACCGGAUAACACCGAAGAUCGCAUGAUCUUUGGUUGAAAGGCGGCUUUGGCUGUCACUUACGGAUGGGCCCGCGGCGCAUUAGCUAGUUGGUGAGGUAACGGCUCACCAAGGCGACGAUGCGUAGCCGACCUGAGAGGGUGAUCGGCCACACUGGGACUGAGACACGGCCCAGACUCCUACGGGAGGCAGCAGUAGGGAAUCUUCCGCAAUGGACGAAAGUCUGACGGAGCAACGCCGCGUGAGCGAAGAAGGUCUUCGGAUUGUAAAGCUCUGUUGUUAGGGAAGAACAAGUACCGUUCGAAGAGGGCGGUACCGUGACGGUACCUAACGAGAAAGCCACGGCUAACUAC